CUGCUCACUUCAGCAGCACUUAUACUAAAAUUGGAAUGAUACAGAGAAGAUCGGCAUGGUCCCUGAACAAAGAUGACAUGCAAAUUCCUGAAGCAUUCCUCAUGUUU